rnacentral:lncRNA from 1 species
AUGAAGCCCCCCCACCUUGCCCCGCGGGGUCCUGGACCCAGCCUCCCCCACCCCUAUCCUGUGGCCCCUUCGGGGGCCAGACUCCCGCCCCCACCGUGCCUAUCCCGCGGGUCUCACCCAGGCCCAGGCUGGGCCGCCACCGGGGCCAGGUGGAGCGGGUCUGCUUCCCGGGGGCUGGAGGUGGCCGCAGCCGCCGACGCCUCUGGAGCCCCAGCCGCCUCCGCCUCCUCCUCCGCCGCCGCUGCCUUAUCCUGGCGCUGCCCCCAGCCGGGCCCCCGCCCCCCGCCCGCCCAUUGGCUCCGCGCGGCCCCGGAGCCGCCUCUGGGUCCCCCAACCCGGCUCCCCGCCCCGCUUUGUCUCCUCUCCCGCUUUCCCUCCCUCAGACCCCCGCCUUUGUCUGCCCCCAAACCCGGGAGGUUGGCGCCAAAGACUCGGACUGAGCCGGCCGCCCCCCACCCUAGCCCCGAGCCCCGCGCCUGCCCUUCUGGUUGCCUCUCCUCCGACCAAGCCUGGCUUCUCCCCGUCCCAAACUCGUUCCGCUCCGCGCCCCAGCCUCUAACGGCCCGUCGAGGUCCCCCUAGACCUCGCGCUCGCUUUCAGCUUCGGUCCCGCCCUCCUCUCCUAUCCCAGCCGGCCUCGGGGCGCUUCAGUGCCAGCCCAACAUCUCCCCUCCCGCCCGGGCCUUGCGGGGGUGGGGGGGGACAGGAACCAGGAGUGCGAGGGAAGAAGGGGUCCUGCCCCUCCAGAGCUCCCGAGGAGGGGGCCGCCUGUGUGUGUUGGGGGAUCCCCUGGCAGGGUGUGUCACGGGGACAGCACCUGGGACAUUUGUCCCUCUUCCCGCCACAUCAGACUUCCUGGAUCAUUUCUCGGCCUCAGUUUCCUCUGGAUUCCCCACUGGCCCCCGUGGGCGCGGUGUCCCACCGCCCGCUGCACGGCUCCCACUCGGCUCUUGGGGCCCCGGGGCCGGGCGCAGGGCUGGGACACUCGGACCCCAGUCCUCCCGGGCUGCUCAGCCAAAGUCCUCUCUUUCACCGAACUCGAUGCCGGGGGUGA